rnacentral:rRNA from 1 species
GGGGAAUAUUGCACAAUGGGCGCAAGCCUGAUGCAGCGACGCCGCGUGAGGGAUGACGGCCUUCGGGUUGUAAACCUCUGUUAGCAGGGAAGAAGAGAAAUUGACGGUACCUGCAGAGAAAGCGCCGGCUAACUACGUGCCAGCAGCCGCGGUAAUACGUAGGGCGCGAGCGUUGUCCGGAAUUAUUGGGCGUAAAGAGCUUGUAGGCGGUUUGUCGCGUCUGCUGUGAAAGGCCGGGGCUUAACCCCGUGUAUUGCAGUGGGUACGGGCAGACUAGAGUGCAGUAGGGGAGACUGGAAUUCCUGGUGUAGCGGUGGAAUGCGCAGAUAUCAGGAGGAACACCGAUGGCGAAGGCAGGUCUCUGGGCUGUAACUGACGCUGAGAAGCGAAAGCAUGGGGAGCGAACAGGAUUAGAUACCCUGGUAGUCCAUGCCGUAAACGUUGGGCACUAGGUGUGGGGAACAUUCCACGUUUUCCGCGCCGUAGCUAACGCAUUAAGUGCCCCGCCUGGGGAGUACGGCCGCAAGGCUA